GGUUAGUAGGGAGCAAAGCUGAGGAGGAGAGUGGUAGUGGAGGGACAACAGGGUUAGCAACCGGUAAGACAUAGAACCGUUUGAGAGAAGGGAUGACACAGUAGGAGAAGCUAAGCACACUGUUGGUUAGGUGUGCCCAAGCAUUGAGGCAGUCAAAGGAGGCAAAUCCGCUGUGAUAAUGCUGGGAUGUGAUGGGGAGCGAAAUGUAGUAGCGAAGUAGCUGAUUUCACACUGUCAAGAAAAGUAGCGAUAGAGGGAAAAGGUAGCCGUACCGCAAACCGACACAGGUGGGUGAGGAGAGAAUCCUAAGGCCAGCGAGAGAGCGGUAGAUAAGGAACUCGGCGAAUUGAACCCGUAACUUAGGGAUAAGGGGUGACACCAUCAGGUGG
rnacentral:rRNA from 1 species